rnacentral:rRNA from 1 species
CAAUAAGCGGAGGAAAAGAAACUAACAAGGAUUCCCCUAGUAACGGCGAGUGAAGCGGGAAGAGCUCAAGCUUAAAAUCUCCGUGCAAGUUUUGCACGGCGAAUUGUAGUCUAUAGAGGCGUGGUCAGCGUGGGCGCUUGGGGCAAGUUCCUUGGAAGAGGACAGCAUGGAGGGUGAUACUCCCGUUCAUCCCUGAGUUGCUCGUGCGUACGACCCGUUUUCUUUGAGUCGCGUUGUUUGGGAAUGCAGCGCAAAGUAGGUGGUAAAUUCCAUCUAAAGCUAAAUAUUGGUGCGAGACCGAUAGCGAACAAGUACCGUGAGGGAAAGAUGAAAAGAACUUUGAAAAGAGAGUUAAAGAGUACCUGAAACUGCUGAAAGGGAACCGAAUCGUUUCCAGUGUCUAUAAUCUGUGGCAUAUUUCAUUGGCGAGUGUGUGCGUGCGUGUGCUGUGGCAGUGGCUUUUUUGGCUGCGCUCGGUGUGUGUGCUGUGUGUGCUUGCUGGUGCCCUGUGCUGCGGUGGGACGUCAAGGUCAGUUCGUAUGCUGCGGGAAAUGGCUGCCGAGGAGGUAGGGCUUACGCUUGCGUUUGUCUGUUAUAUCUUGGUGGACGAGUAGUCGCGGUUGGGACUGAGGUGCCUACAACGUGCUUUUGAGUGUGUCUGUGUCUCCGUGUGCGCCGUGUGCGGAUAGCUUGCUAUGCGUGUGUGGUUGUGUGUGGAUUGAUGCGGGCUUUAACUUGUUGCCGUUCGGGACGUUGACGAAAUGGAGCGAUCCGACCCGUCUUGAAACACGGACCAAGGAGUCUAACAUGUGUGCAAGUGUUAGGGUGUGGAAACCCCAGCGCGAAAUGAAAGUGAAGGGCAGCGCAAGUUGUCUGAGGUAGGAAACGUUGUGGGCUUCGGUCUGCGGCGUGGCACUAUCGACCGAUCAUGAACCUUCGUGGUGAAAGAUUUGAGUUUGAGCACAUAUGUUGGUACCCGAAAGAUGGUGAACUAUGCCUGAGUAGGGUGAAGCCAGGGGAAACUCUGGUGGAAGCUCGUAGCGAUUCUGACGUGCAAAUCGAUCGUCAAACUUGGGUAUAGGGGCGAAAGACUAAUCGAACCAUCUAGUAGCUGGUUCCCU